rnacentral:rRNA from 1 species
UACGUAGGUGGCGAGCGUUGUCCGGAUUUACUGGGCGUAAAGAGCGCGCAGGCGUCGUGCAAGUCGCGUGUGAAAGCCCCGGCUCAACUGGGAGGGUCACGCGAUACUGCUCGACUCGAAGGCAGGAGAGGGAAGUGGAAUUCCCGGUGUAGUGGUGAAAUGCGUAGAUAUCGGGAGGAACACCAGUGGCGAAGGCGACUUCCUGGCCUGUUCUGCGCUGAGGCGCGAAAGCUAGGGUAG